UAUUUUUGAGCCAAAAAUCUAACGAAGGGAAUUUUUGAGCUAUUUCAAAUAGUUCAGAGAUAUUUUUGACUCUUUCCGUAAUAAUAAUAAUAAAUAAAAUAAGAAAGAAAGACAUAAAACUACUUAGAUUAUGCUAAUUUUAUUUCAUUUUUCAAUCCGUUCAUUCUCUGUUUCUUUCUUUCUUUCUUUCUUUCUCCUUAUAUUUUUUUAUUGCCUAACUUCUUUUUACCUUUUCUUAAACAUUUCCUCCUUAUUUUCCAUGAAAAUUAUCAACCCAAAUUGUAGAAAACAAAAACAAACAAACAAACAAUAAAUAAAUAAAUAAAUAAAAAUAAACUACACUGUUGAAAAAUAAGGACAUGGCUAGAUCUGCCGGUUUUCCGAUGAUUGAUGACGGAAAGGAAGAAAUGGGGCGGCGCUAGUACAGAGAUGGGUUUUCAGCGAAUUUUUUACGUUUUUCGAUGGGAUUUGAGCAGCUGGCAGCGUUGAUUCCGGCAAUUGGGUGGCCGGAGUUGUUGGUUUGGGAUGGGGAGAAGGAAAGAAUGAAGUUGCGGCGGUGCCUGUUGGGCUGGGAUGACGUUUCACCGACCUUGAUUAAUGGCUAAUUCGGUGUCAGGGAUGUGAGAGGGAUGGCGAUGCUAAUUGGGCUUCGCCGAUGGUGGUGAUUCCAGCUAGAUCUGGCGUUGGAGAGGGGAUUUUGUAUGAUGGGAAAGGGGAGAGGGGGACGGUGCCAUUUUCCAACAAAAAUUUGCCAGAGCAGCGACAUCAGUGAGAGGCCGUGGUCACCGACGUUCUAUUUUUAUCUCAUUUCCAGCAAUCUCGGUGAAAAUUUAGUAUGAGACGGGCUUUGGUUUGGGGAUUUUGGUCGGUAUUUUAUGGUUUUCGGUGGAUUUGAGAAAGAUUUCAUUGUGGGAAUGAUGUUUCCGGCAAGUUCUUGCCGAAAAAACCAAGUUUCAAAUGUGCUUUUCUUUCUUUUUUUAUUCUUAUUCUUACAUCUGAUUCUCUCUCUCAUCUCUCAUGCUUUUCCUUUUUAAUGAUAUUUUGUCAUUCAUUGUACUUUGUUUAAUAUAUAUGAAUUUGUGAAUUAGUGUUUUUGUACGUGUGAAUUAGUGUGUGAGUUAACGGUGAUGUGUUGGUGUGUGUAUUGUGGUCUGUGUAUUAAGAAAAACAGAAUGAGUGUGAAUCAGCUUACGUAACCAUUUUUUCUUUCUUUCUUUCUAUUUAAACCAGACAGUAUUUAUACAUAAUAUUUAAAUUCAUAACAUAUUUACUGAAUAAAUAUAUAAACAUUUCGUUAAUUUUACAGUAUAACUUGUGGCAAUAAAAGUUUCAUGUAAUCAAAUACACACACUAACAGUACAUUACACUUUUCAAAUAUUUUUACUCAUGUUUUUCUAUAGCAAAUUUACAAUAAUAGAAUAGGAUCAAAAAUAGAACCUGCAUUCCAACUUAAUUGAAUACGGAAGUAAAACGUUAUCAACGAAAACUCGAACUGAAUUCAAAUUCAACUUGAUUCAUUUUUCCUCUUUUUCAUCUUUAUCUAAUGUUUUUGUUAUUCUCUGAUUUUUUUCAGUGUCUUAGAUAGAUUGUCCGUACUUUUUCUGGGGUUUGAGGAGUCCUUAAGUACAAGGACUUUGGGGGAAACAGUUAAUCACCAGAUAAGAUAGAAAUUUUUAAAUUUUGAAUCCCUUUUUUAUUUAGAAGAUAAUAAUAAUAAAAAUAAUAAAUAAAUAAAUAAAUAAAAUAAAAUAAUAGAUGUAAUAAUAACUGAUUAAUUUUUAUAUUAUGAAAAUACAAUAAAAGUUUAUAAUAGCCAAAAAUAAAUAUAAUUAAGAUAGUAUUAAAACUACUAGCUUAUUUAUUGAAAAUUAAAAAGAUAAAAAUAUUUUUUAAUUUUUGAAUUAUUAUUUUUUAAAAUUAGAAUAUAAAUAAAAUAAAAUAUACUAAAAAUUAACUUCAUUUAGUUAUUUAUUUUUUAACUAAAAAUUUAUUAAAAUAAUAUCAGAUCAAAUAUAAAUAUUUAAUAUCGAAAAAUAAGUUAAAAUUCGAGGAGGAUAAAAAAUCAUGUGUCUACACUUACUUUGUAGUAAAUCAUGCAAUUCUUUCAUUAGACAUCUUUAACAUUUAUCAACAAGUGAAAACACCCUCUCUUCAAUUCACAACCAUUCUCAAAUCAUCUAACAAUAGCCAAGAACAUUUAUACCAGGCUUCUAAAUGUAAAGUUUUAUCAAUUCGCAACAUGUGAAUAUCAAGAAGUAUCAUAACACGAGAGGGAGUGAAAAUAUUCAUUCUCUCAAUUCACUUUCAAACUUCAAACGCAUACUUACAUCUAUAUGAACAAAAAUCAAAUUUAGGGGAAGGCCUCAAGACCAAAACAUUAUCAUCAAUAGGGUUCACAAUGCAUAUUUGUUAAUAUAAAUUCAAAAAAACCUUUGUAAACAUAUGAUUUCUCAAAAUUCAAAACAUUCUUAAAACGAUUUCACCAUGCCCACGUAGUUUAGGAAAACCCCACAUACCUUAUAUUGUUUAGUUGAAGAAUAGAACCCUAAUCUUGACACUUUUCUUGGGAAAUCAUGGAUUGAAAGGCUUGAAUUCUUGCCUUGAAGAAAACCCUAAUUUUCUCUUGUUCUUGAGAGUGAAGAGGAUUUGAGAUGUCAAAAAUUGAUAAAAUAUGGAUUAUAACAUUAGGGUAUGGUUUAAAUUUGUGGGGAACGAGUUAAGGAUGGAAAAAUACCAAAAUAUCCCUUUAAAAUGAUACUUUAGCGUAGGUCUGCCCUUAUGGAUGACCUGAGUGAUGGACCGUCACUCCCGUGAUUGAUCGUCGCUCAAACCAUCACAAAAAACCAUUUUUAGACCUUUUUGUUUCAAGUUGACGGCCUGGCUUGACUGGCUAUCACUAGCUUGAGAGUCCGUCAGUCUGGCUGUCGCACCUCAGCAGACUGACAUCUAUCUGGAAAACGGGCAUAUCUUUUUACUCUAAUAUAGGAUUAAGGCGAAACUAUCAGCGUUAGAAAGAAAACUCGAACAUAUUUCAUUUGAUAUAUAGUAGGCCCUAUAACUCGAUAUAUACAAGGAGUAAUGGUUGAUAGAAGUUGACCUAAGUUGAGACGUUCACCAAAACUUAAUCGAUAGAAGAGUUUUCAACUCGUCUUUGAGUUAGGGGAUUUUUUUAACCUCAAUUCAUAUUCAAAGGGAUUCACACACUAUAGGAUUGAUCAUGUAAUGCUCCGAUUUUUUGAACUGAAAUACUACACGGUGCUCAUGACCCUGAAGGACCACAAGCUAACCUAUGAUUGGUAUCUAUACCUGUACACUGCAUAAUAUAUCAUAAAAUGCGAAAACAUGAACUAAAAGGCCAUAAGGUUCAAGUUGUAACAUAAGAUAUGAUAAAAGUAUAUCAUAUGGUGGGGCAUGAAAUACCCAAAACAAAACUGAAAUAACUGUCUGAACAUAAUAGUCUGGAAAGCCUCUAACUGACUAAGUUGUCUAGUAAGGAGUUGAUGGGACAUGUCCCCAACUAACCCCAACUAAUAAACUAAUUAAUGAGAUAAUAAAGAAAUAACUAAUCAUAUCCUCAAAAGAUGAGGACUCACUUCUAAACUCUGACUGCUGAGACUGAAAUCUACUGCUGCCCUGGAGCUCGUGUCUCUGGACCUAUGGUGUAAAAUAAAAUAAAAAAAGAAACAUCAUAGCGCAAAUGCGUCGGUACGUUUGAAUGUACUGAGUAUGCAAGUGAGUUAGGCUAAAUGUAUGGGGUUCAUAUGCAUGAACAAUAAAAAUACACUAACUAUCAUGAGCGUGAGAAUACAUGCAUGAGACAUAAUAACUAACACUGACACUGUGAAUACAUGGUAACUGAACCUGAGUACAACUAACUAAAUAUUGAUAAUAUGACAUACUGAUAACUGAUAUAACAUAAGUGAUUGUAUCUGACAGUCUUGAAUCUGGUGGAACUAUCUGAGUUUUAUACUGUAUCUGAGUUGACUGUAUCUGACAGUUCUGAAACCUGAAGAACUAUCUAAGUUCUUUUACUGAGGUUGAUACUGAAACUGUGGGAAGUAGUCAUCUAACUGACAUGCCCCAAUUAAGCAAAUAAUGCUGAAUUGGGGUCCAAUCUGUAAUCCCAAUUAGAAGAGUGUCAAUAUCGCGCCACUAGUAAAUACAAACUAUGGGUAACCCUCAUCUGAAAGUGUCCCCAAAAGAAAAUGAUGAGGACCUCAUCUGACAGUGCUUAUCCACCUCAUCAACUCUUAUCUGAUAGUGUUGAUGCCUCAACCUAUGCUGGCUACAUAGUUCUGAAACACAAGGAUGACUGCUAAGAAUCACACCCUCGUCUGACAGUGUGUGUUCCCAUUCUUGGGUUCACUCUGUGCUAAUUUCCACUCCCAUCUGAAGAGACUGAACAUGAUUAACUAACUGUUCAUGGACUGAGCUUCCUAAAUGCCGUUGACUGAUGAAAUACUAUUGAUAUCUGAUAACUGAUUGAGAUCAUGAGAUUUCUAAGAUUUCCUGAGUCACAUGACUGACUGAGUUCUAUGGAACAUGGAUUGAUUGAGGUUAUCAUGAUAAAAUGAAUUGACUCUAGGCACAUAGCUAUAUUUUUCAGGUACAAGUACCCCCAGGACUCGAUGGAAAGAAACUGACACAACCAUGACACUUCUUGAUCAUAGGAACAGAGUUCAUAAUUCAUAAUGCCAUAAAUAGGGGAUGUUAUGCUUUACAUAGUUAUCAUAUUCUUGAUCAUGGAAGGGAAUGUAUGUAACAUAUAAAUACUUGCAUAGUUUCAAUAUCAUGAAAAUUUUAUAACACAACAAUAGCAUGGAAAUUGUGUUGAAUCAUAAGGGUAGCAUGGACUUGUCAUUUGGGGCACUACUAAGUCAUAAAAACAUGAUUUUUAUCAUUCUAGGCAUUUUAUCAAACACCUUACAUGCACAACCUUGAGCAUAGGCGUAUUUGACAAUUUAGCAAUCUUAAAUCACCCAAAUUCAUGGUCUCAACUAACAAGUCCACAUACUUUAUGAAAACACAUCAAGAUACCAUCUUGAAACAUAAAUAACUACCAUCAAUAUGAACACAAUCAUAUUACAACAAGAUAAACACAAUUUAUUAUUUAAAACGUGAUUCUUGAGCUCCAUGGAUGAAAGGGAUCCAUGGAUGAACACUACGCAUACCUGGGUUAUGAUUUCUUGAAGUUUUGUAGAGGAAAACUUGAAUUAUUGGCUUGGAAUUAAGCACCUAGGGUUCCUUGUUCUUGGGAAUUGAUUCUUGAGAGAAACCCUAAUUGUUGUUGUGAAAUAAUAAUGGCUAAAAUGGCUAAAAUCAGAUAUAAUUAAGUAUAUCUAGGCGAUUGGUAAAUGACCAAAGUACCCCUAUUAAAAUGACCUAGAAUAGAUGAACGUAAGGUGCGACGGUGGCUUCCAAUGAUCCUUCGGACCUGCGACAGUCUGUCGAUACCUACCGUCGGACCUGGGCAGAAACUAGUCCCACUGGUUAUGAGCGAUGGAGGAUUCCGAUGGUCUGUCGAACCUGCGACGGUCCAUCGACUGCUACCGUCGUACCUGGGCAGAAAGCAGGUCCACUGCCUCAGUGCGACGAUCAUGCUCAAUAGUUCGUGCCUUGUCGAUGGUCCAUCGACCACACCAUCGUACCUGGGCUAUUUUACUAUCUUCUGCAUUUCGGCCAUAACUUUUUCAUUUGACACCGGAUUUUGAUAAAAUUUGUAUCGAUGGAAAGCUUAUUCAAAUUUUCCACGUGAUAGGAAGUGAAAAUUAUAAAAAUACCAUGUGUAUAAGAAUGAAUUUUUAUUUCAAAUAAAGUUCUAAUAUCCAAUUUUUAAGCUAAGAAAAAGAACGGGUAUUGCAAUAUCUCCUCCUUGAGAACAUUCAUCCUUGAAUGAGACUGGCUGAGAGGGGAAACAAUAAACUGAACAUGAACUGAACAUGAAUAACUGGAACAUGAUCUCAUGACUGACAUGACUGACAAGCUGACCAUAACAUACUGAACAUGCAUAUCUGAUGCAUGCGUAACUGUUUCAUGAAUGCAUGACUAAGUGUUCUGAAGAACUAAGUUUCUCACAAUGAGAAUGCAUGUGGGAUGCAUAAUUUCAUAAUUGAUUGAUACAUAAAUGCAUGAGUGAAUAUGCAAUUGUAUUUGAUACCAAGUUUAUCAUGGGGAUAUGAACAUAAAACUGAACACUAAGUUCGUGAUGAACAUAAAACAUGAAACUAAGUAAGCUUGAGGAGAACUGCUACCUUGAGCUUAAGCUAAGUUGACGGAAAAGAGGUGAGGAUACUUGGUAUGCAUGUCUGCUUUUAUUUCUCAAUGAUCUCCCUCUACGGACUGGCUUCGCCAAAGAACUUUAACUAGAGGUAAUUCUUUGUUCCUCAAUCUACAAGUCUGAUAGUCUAAGAUUUUAACUCGAAUCUCUUCAUAAGAAAGGUUGUACUGAACAUCAAUGUUCUGAAUAGGGACUAUCACUAAUGGGUCACCUAUUCACUUCUUGAGCAAAGAGACAUGAAAAACUGGAUGAACUGAGGCUAGAUCUAAAGGUAAUUCGAGCUCAUAAGCUACCUUGCCAAAGCGACUGAGAAUCUUGAAGGGACCGACAUAUCGGGGACUGAGCUUUCCCUUCUUACCGAAUCUUUUUACUCCCUUCACGGGAGGGAACUUUAUAUAGACAUGAUCACUGAUCUCAAACUUGAGAUCUUUUCUAUGAAUAUCUGUAUAAGACUUUUGUUGGCUUUGAGCAGCCCGGAGUCUUGCUUUGAUCCACUGGACUUUCUCUAAGGCCUCUAAUAUCAAGUCAGGACCUAUGACUGAGGCCUUACUAACUUCAAACCAACCAAGUGGAUAUCUACAUUUCCUACCAUAGAGAGCUUCAAAUGGAGCCAUCUGAAUACUGGAAUGAUAGUUGUUGUUAUAUGCAAACUCAAUCAAAGGCAAGUGGUUAUCCCAACUUCUCUUGAAAUUCACUGCACACGCCCUUAGCAUAUUUUCUAAAGUCUGAAUGGUCCUUUCUGGUUGACCAUUUGUCUGAGGAUGGAAGGAUGUACUAAGAUGAACUUGGGUACCAAGACCCUUUUGGAAUACUUCCCAGAAGUGAGAGGUGAACUAGGUACGUCUGUCUGAGAUAAUAGAUAACAGGACACCGUACAAUCUGACCAACUCUCUAAUGUAGAGUUUGGCAUAAUCCCCGGCUGAAUAGAGGUAUGAACUGGAAGAAAAUGAGUUGAUUUGGUCAUUCUAUCUACAAUGACCCACACCGAAUCAUGAUGAUGACGAGUUCGGGGCAAACCUGUCACGAAGUCCAUGUUCACAACUUCCUACUUCCAAAUAGGAAUACUGAACUCCUGCAUAGGACCACUAGGCUUCUAAUGCUCUAUCUUAACUUGCUAACAUGUAGAGCACUUAGCCACAAACUCUACAACAUCCUUCUUUAUCUCACUCCACCAAUAGAUAUCUCGCAAGUCACGGUAUAUCUUAGUGGCCUCUGAAUGAAUAGAGUAGUGCACACCAUGUGCUUCUGCAAGAAUUCGCUGCCUUAAGUCAUCUACACCUAGAACACAGAGACGACCCUGACAAUAAAGAACACCAUCUCCUCUUUGGUAGAAAAACUUUAUUUUAUGAUUCUGAACUGACUCUUUCAACUUGACAAGGCUGGGAUCUCUAUCUUGAUUUUAUUUCUCCUCAGAAACUAGAGAUGAUUCUGAACUAAUCUGAAUACAUACACCACCCUCUAAAGAAUCGACUAAGUGAACGCCUAGUCUGCCAAGCUGAUGGACUUCAUGAGCUAACUUCCUCUUAUUGUCCUCAACAUAAGAAACACUACCUAUAGAAAGUUUACUGAGAGCAUCAGCCACUACAUUGACCUUGCCCAAAUGAUAAAGGACACUUAUGUCGUAAUAUUUCAAGAGCUCUAACCACCUUCUCUGAAGAAGAUUGAAAUCCUUAUGAGAAAUGACAUACUAAAGUCUCUUAUGAUCCGUGAAGACAUCUACAUGAUCACCGUAGAGAUAAUGUCUCCAUAUCUUUAAGGCAAAUACUACGACUGCUAACUUAAGAUCAUGAGUAGGAUACUUCUUCUCAUGGGGCUUUAACUGUCUGGGGACGUAUGCUAUGAUCUUACCAUGCUGCAUGAGAACACAACCUAAACCCAUUCUGGAUGCAUCAUAAUACACUACGAACCCAUCUGAACCAUCUGGAAGAGCUAAGACUAGAGCUGAGGUGAGUCGAGUCUUCAACUUCUGAAAACUCUUCUCUCAAGUAUCUAACCACUAAAACUUGACCUUCUUCUGAGUCAAUCUGGACACAGGGGAUGCAAUAUAAAAACCCCUCGAUAAACCAUCUGUAAUAUCCAGCCAAACCUAAGAAACUCUUGAUAUCUAAUGAAGAGAUGGGGCGAGGUCAGUUUCUUACUGCUUCGAUCUUUUGAGGAUCAACUCUAAUGCCAUCACCAAAAAUGAUAUGACCAAGGAAUGCUACUGACCUUAGCCAAAACUUGCACUUACUGAAUUUGGCAAAUAAUUGGUGAUCCCUGAGAGUCUGAAGAACAAUUCUGAGAUGGUCUAAAUGGUCUUGCUCACUACGGGAGUAGACCAGAAUAUUAUCUAUGAAGACUAUGAAGAACAUAUCCAAGUAUAGCUUGAACACACGGUUCAUCAAGUCCAUGAAAGCUUCGGGGGCAUUAGUAAGACCAAAGGACAUAACGAAUUUAAAGUGACCAUACCUAGUACGGAAAGCUAUUUUUGGAAUGUCACAUUCUCUUACUUUGGGCUGAUGAUAGCCUGAUCUGAGGUCUAUCUUGAAGAAAUAAUUGGCACUCUGAAUUUGGUCAAACAAGUCAUCGAUUCUGGGAAGAGGAUACUUGUUCUUGACUAUAACUUUAUUGAGUUGAUGGUAGUCUAUACACAUUCUAAAGAACCGUCUCUCUUGUGCACGAAUAAGACUGGUGCGCCCCAUGGGGAAAUACUAGGUCUGAUGAAUCCCUUAUCUAAGAGGUCAUUCAAUUGUUCUUUUAAUUCUAUAAGUUCUGCUGGUGACAUUCUAUAUGGCAGAAUAGAGAUAGGCUAUGUAUCUGGUAGAAGAUCAAUACCAAAGUCUAUUUCCCUUUCGAAAGAAAUUCCUGGAAGAUCUUUGGGAAAGACAUCUAAAUAUUUAUUCAUAACUAGAACUAAUUCUAGAGUAGGAGUUUCGAAACUGGAAUCCUUAACAUGAAUAAGAUGGUAGACACAUCCCUUAGAUAUCAUUUUCCUUGCUCGAAGAUAGGAAACAAGCUGACCUCUGAAAGCAAAUACACUACCCUUCCACUUAAGGAUGGGUUCAUUUGGAAACUGAAACUGGACUAUUCUAUUUCUGUAGUCGACUGUGGCAUAUCAGGAAUGAAUCUAAUCCAUGCCAAGAAUGACAUCAAAAUUAGUCAUCUCCAAUUAGACUAAGUCUGCUGAUGUGACUUUCUAAAAUAUCAUAAUCGGGCAGUUCUUGUAUACCCGUCGAGCUAUGAUGGUUUUACCCACUGGGGUAGAAACUGAAAAGAGUUCUGCUAGAAUUUCAGGAAUGACUCCGAAAUCGACUGCUAUAUAGGAAGUAACAAAAGACAAAGAUGUACCUGCAUCUAGCAAAGCAUAAACAUGUACAUGAAAGAUCUGUAAUGUACCAGAACUACAUCAGGAGAAUUUUCCUGAUCCUGUUGGGUUUGGAGAGCAUAGAUUCUAUUUGGGCGUUGCCCACUAGUAGCAGUGAAAGUGUGAUAUGCCUAAAUUACACCUCUCUUACGAGAGAGUAAGCGGUCAUUGUCAAAUAUAUAACCCAACUAGAUUGGGGUCGAAUCCCACAGGGAAUAUGGUGUUAAUUAAGUUGUAUACAGAUUAGUUGACUUUUAAUCAUUCGUUUCAGUAAAAUAAAUAGGGGGGAUUUGAUUCAGUUUACAAAUUAAUGGCUUCAGUUUAACAAGAUGAAAUAUGUGUAGUAAUAUUCAAAUUCAGAGAAAUAGUAAGCUAGGGUUAUGUCCACCUUGUAGUUUUCAAUACUUACUAACUAUGGGCUUUAUAAAUUCAUACAUGCAUUAUGCUUACAGAGAAACGUAUUGUAUUUAAUAACAUAAUCCUAGUGUUUCUCAACCAUCAAGGACUAAUUCACUUUAGUUCUCUCGAAUCAAAAGCGUUCACCAAAAAAAUAUGAAAUCUCCAAAUAGUUAAUCUUGCUAAGGCAUUAACUUAUAAAAUAGGGGUUGGUAAUUCUAUUUUCUUAUCACUACUCUCUUUUCCAAACAUCAACUUUUCUUUCAAACAAGUUGUGUUUUAAGGCAUAUCCUCGAUGUUUGCAACCACGAAAAUUCAAGAUAACCGAAGAGAGUAUGAUAUAAAUAAGUCAAUGCAUAAUGAAUUCAAAACCCUAAGUGAUAGAUUGUAUGCUACAAGGAUUCCAUAACCCUAACUAAUAAACUUAGCUACUCAUGAAUAAAACGAAAAACAUCAUAAAUAUAUUCAUCAUACCAAAAACUAAAAGAAGAUCUUAGUGUGUGAAUCAUGAAAACAAGAGAGAAAACAUUUUUCUCUAUCUCCAGGCUAAGCCGCCACUCUCCUGGUUUAGAAUAAUACAGAAUAAUCAAUAAUGAAUAAAAAUUGAACAUUAAGCCUUUUGAUAAUCUUUUCUCUCAUAAUUGCCUUCUAAGUCCCUAAACUAGUUAUAAAUGACAAACUAGUCCUGGACAUAUUUUCUAGGCGCCACAUUUGGUCAAGAUUGCUACUCUCUCUUGUUUCAUAUUCCAUCCGCAUUCCAUAGUCCAAUAAUGUCUUCAUCUAUCUCAUUAAUACCUGAAAUCAUGCUAAUCACAUCGGUUAGCUCAAUUACAUAGAAGUAGAGUUAAAACAUAAGAAACUAGGCACUUUGUUCUCUAAACAUAGCUAAAAUAUGGAUAAGUUAUGGUUCUUAGGCGUGUAAAUACACCCAAUAUCAAAGUGGAACCCUGCUAAUUUGGACGAUCAGACUGAGCUGUGAAAAGAUUCUCCUGACAUUGAGAACCUAUCUGUGGACACUCUCGAACUCUGUGGCCUGGAUUUUCACAUCCGAAACAAACAUCACUACCAGAUCUACAAACAUCCUUGUGGUUCUUACCACAAGUCUGACGAAGGGGAUAAGUGCGGGCGCUGCUAAUAUUUCCUUGAGUCUGAGAGCCUGGCGCUCUAUCUCUGAACUUAGGAGUAGGAGCACUGGAUGAAGAAGGAACUAGAACUGAUGGCUUAGUAUGAAAUUGAGAAUGGUUUCCUUCUUCUGAUUUGGGCUGAGAAAAGUUGAAACAGUCUGACCUUACUUUCUUAUGCUGCCUCUCCGUAAUACCCUGAGAAUUUCAACUAAUAGUAGAACCCUGUUUCAAGCUCAUUAGAAAUAUAUUUAGUGCUUUGGUAGCUACAUGAUCUAGCUUGAUGAGUAUUAAGGCCCCAAAAGUGUCCUAGCUAUUAGACGAAUCAAAACAUUCCUUGCCAAUUGAAUUUUUGAGAUAGAUAUUAGUAUGGUCAACUUCAAACGAGCAUAUCUCUUGUUAUACUAUGAAUUUCUGAGCUCAUGUCCCACCAAAAGAUAGAUACUUGAAUUAGCUUUCCAAUUAUACUAAUUUCUCCAAAAUCCAUUAUCGGAGCAAAGAGUUAUGCCCAUUUUACUCCAGCAUAUCAUCCUGGAAAUUUCAUGAAGACAUUUUGUGACGACUUGUCACAAAAUGUCGUCACCAUAAGCAAAAAGUCACAAAAUCCAACAUUUUGUGACGACUUGUCACAAGUUUGAUGGUUUGUCACAAAAUGUCGUCAACCUUAAGCCGAAAAUCAUAAAAUCCACCCUUUUGUGAUGACAUUUCAUGACGACUUGUCACGAAUGUCGUCAACUAUUUUUUUCAUCAAUUUAAUGACAUUUUUGCAAGGGUAUUUUGGUCCUUUUUUCUACACUUUCCAUGACUUAUAACCCUCAGAGAACAUAUUUUCUUCUAUUUCUCUUUAGUUAAACAUCUCAAAAUUCUCUGCACACCUUCAACCACAAGGUUAGGGUUUCAACAUAAAAACCCAANNNNNNNNNNNNNNNNNNNNNNNNNNNNNNNNNNNNNNNNNNNNNNNNNNNNNNNNNNNNNNNNNNNNNNNNNNNNNNNNNNNNNNNNNNNNNNNNNNNNNNNNNNNNNNNNNNNNNNNNNNNNNNNNNNNNNNNNNNNNNNNNNNNNNNNNNNNNNNNNNNNNNNNNNNNNNNNNNNNNNNNNNNNNNNNNNNNNNNNNNNNNNNNNNNNNNNNNNNNNNNNNNNNNNNNNNNNNNNNNNNNNNNNNNNNNNNNNNNNNNNNNNNNNNNNNNNNNNNNNNNNNNNNNNNNNNNNNNNNNNNNNNNNNNNNNNNNNNNNNNNNNNNNNNNNNNNNNNNNNNNNNNNNNNNNNNNNNNNNNNNNNNNNNNNNNNNNNNNNNNNNNNNNNNNNNNNNNNNNNNNNNNNNNNNNNNNNNNNNNNNNNNNNNNNNNNNNNNNNNNNNNNNNNNNNNNNNNNNNNNNNNNNNNNNNNNNNNNNNNNNNNNNNNNNNNNNNNNNNNNNNNNNNNNNNNNNNNNNNNNNNNNNNNNNNNNNNNNNNNNNNNNNNNNNNNNNNNNNNUUCCAUAACCCUAACUAAUAAACUUAGCUACUCAUGAAUAAAACGAAAAACAUCAUAAAUAUAUUCAUCAUACCAAAAACUAAAAGAAGAUCUUAGUGUGUGAAUCAUGAAAACAAGAGAGAAAACAUUUUUCUCUAUCUCCAGGCUAAGCCGCCACUCUCCUGGUUUAGAAUAAUACAGAAUAAUCAAUAAUGAAUAAAAAUUGAACAUUAAGCCUUUUGAUAAUCUUUUCUCUCAUAAUUGCCUUCUAAGUCCCUAAACUAGUUAUAAAUGACAAACUAGUCCUGGACAUAUUUUCUAGGCGCCACAUUUGGUCAAGAUUGCUACUCUCUCUUGUUUCAUAUUCCAUCCGCAUUCCAUAGUCCAAUAAUGUCUUCAUCUAUCUCAUUAAUACCUGAAAUCAUGCUAAUCACAUCGGUUAGCUCAAUUACAUAGAAGUAGAGUUAAAACAUAAGAAACUAGGCACUUUGUUCUCUAAACAUAGCUAAAAUAUGGAUAAGUUAUGGUUCUUAGGCGUGUAAAUACACCCAAUAUCAAAGUGGAACCCUGCUAAUUUGGACGAUCAGACUGAGCUGUGAAAAGAUUCUCCUGACAUUGAGAACCUAUCUGUGGACACUCUCGAACUCUGUGGCCUGGAUUUUCACAUCCGAAACAAACAUCACUACCAGAUCUACAAACAUCCUUGUGGUUCUUACCACAAGUCUGACGAAGGGGAUAAGUGCGGGCGCUGCUAAUAUUUCCUUGAGUCUGAGAGCCUGGCGCUCUAUCUCUGAACUUAGGAGUAGGAGCACUGGAUGAAGAAGGAACUAGAACUGAUGGCUUAGUAUGAAAUUGAGAAUGGUUUCCUUCUUCUGAUUUGGGCUGAGAAAAGUUGAAACAGUCUGACCUUACUUUCUUAUUCUGCCUCUCCGUAAUACCCUGAGAAUUUCAACUAAUAGUAGAACCCUGUUUCAAGCUCAUUAGAAAUAUAUUUAGUGCUUUGGUAGCUACAUGAUCUAGCUUGAUGAGUAUUAAGGCCCCAAAAGUGUCCUAGCUAUUAGACGAAUCAAAACAUUCCUUGCCAAUUGAAUUUUUGAGAUAGAUAUUAGUAUGGUCAACUUCAAACGAGCAUAUCUCUUGUUAUACUAUGAAUUUCUGAGCUCAUGUCCCACCAAAAGAUAGAUACUUGAAUUAGCUUUCCAAUUAUACUAAUUUCUCCAAAAUCCAUUAUCGGAGCAAAGAGUUAUGCCCAUUUUACUCCAGCAUAUCAUCCUGGAAAUUUCAUGAAGACAUUUUGUGACGACUUGUCACAAAAUGUCGUCACCAUAAGCAAAAAGUCACAAAAUCCAACAUUUUGUGACGACUUGUCACAAGUUUGAUGGUUUGUCACAAAAUGUCGUCAACCUUAAGCCGAAAAUCAUAAAAUCCACCCUUUUGUGAUGACAUUUCAUGACGACUUGUCACGAAUGUCGUCAACUAUUUUUUUCAUCAAUUUAAUGACAUUUUUGCAAGGGUAUUUUGGUCCUUUUUUCUACACUUUCCAUGACUUAUAACCCUCAGAGAACAUAUUUUCUUCUAUUUCUCUUUAGUUAAACAUCUCAAAAUUCUCUGCACACCUUCAACCACAAGGUUAGGGUUUCAACAUAAAAACCCAAUUAUCUAGGGAUUCAAUCGUGAGAAUUCAAUAAUUCUUGCAUAUUUGAAUUCCCCGUUAAGAGGGCUAUGAGGGACUCCCAAUAGUUUGUGAAUAACCUUCUGAAAUUUUUGAAGUCAUCCAAAAGCUCCAAGUUUAAGGUAUGUCGUUCAAGAACACCCUUUUGUUCUUGUGCCCAAAAGUUACAUAUUUUCAUAAAGUAUUUCGUAAAUUCAUGGAGAAUUCCUAUCAUGUUAUUAUAUUGUGAGUUUUAUGAAACUAUGUCUUACCUAAGCUUUGAGUUGUAAUAUUAUUAUGCAUAUUAAUGUUUUAAAUUGUCAAUUUAUGNNNNNNNNNNNNNNNNNNNNNNNNNNNNNNNNNNNNNNNNNNNNNNNNNNNNNNNNNNNNNNNNNNNNNNNNNNNNNNNNNNNNNNNNNNNNNNNNNNNNNNGCUCCCAUUAUAUAUAUAUAUAUAUAUAUAUAUAUAUAUUAUUGAAUUGUUUUAAGGUGGAUUUUCUAAAGUUUUGAGCGAAGUAAGGGAGUAGUAUUUAGUACUGAGUUGGGCUUGAUUCCGAGGUCGCAUGCCCCAGAACUACCCCAAGUGGGUUAAGAUAGUGAUCACUAAAGUUAAGGUUUUAUCCGAUGGCAAGGAUAGAACAGCUCUCCCCAACAUGGAUAAGAUAUUGGACUCCAUGUAGCUCACGUGAUUUAUGUCGGUUAAGAGAAACUCUCCAAGUUCCUAAAGUUCUCUAAGUCCUAAAGUCUUCUAAGUUUCAAAGAGUUUUAGACUUAAAGUUACAAAGUUUUAAAAGUAUAAGUGUUUUUGAAAGCUAUGGUCCUAAUAAUUUCAGGUGUCAUGAUAAUUUGAGGUUUUAAGUAAAAGCAUGAUGAUUUAUGAGUCUUGUGGCAUAUAUUUAUUUCAAGCUAUGUGAGUAUGUUUUACACCAUGCAGGUUUUCUAUAAAAGCUUAUGAUAUUGAGUAUUUUAACUGCACACUCCCCCAUAUGUACUCCCUAUAUGCUCAGUACAUUCCCAAAGUACUGACCCAAAUAUUUUGUCUGUGUGCCAUAUAUUCUCGUAAUGUAUGUUCAGGUGCUCAGUCUCAGCCUUACCAGUGAUCCUUUCGAGCACUCCUAUCUACAUAUCGGCCGUGGUGAGUCCUUAUGUUUUGGGGACUGGUUAUUCUCAAACUUCCAAUUUUAUUUAGUAGCUGUUUAAUUCUUGUCAAUUGAGUAUGAAUCAGUUGGGGACCUGUCCCAGCGGAUCUCUAGUUUAGAGUAGUAGAGGUUUGUCUGACUAGUCAUCAGAUUAUCAGCACUUCGAGAUUUUCUUUGAGUUGUAGUUUGUUCAGAUCAAGUAUUUCAUUCAUAUUUCUCAUUUUAUGAUUUCACAGUGUUGAGUUCAUGAAUUUUAAUCUCUAAGUAAGCUAAUAUAUGAAGUAGAAGGCUCAAAGGUUAGCUUGGGGCUACUUGUAGCCUUAAGCACCAUGUGACGUUCUGGGACACGGUUGUGGGACGUUACACUCUCCUUUAUCCUAACUUUCUGCCCCUCUAUCUACUGAGCAUGAGUUAUAAGCCUAGCUAAAGUUAUGUCACUAUUCAGCAUGGCAGAUAUACACUCAUUAACCACGCUAUCAUUCACCCCUAACACGAACUUACUUAUCUUAGCCCUAUUGUCUGCAACCACAUGAGGCUCAUAUCUGGAUAAUUGAGUAAACUUCAGGGAAUAAUCUUUCCCCAUCAUAUUGCCCUGCCUGAGGUUGACAAAUUCUAGCACCUUAUCUUCUCUAAGCUCUUGGGGAAAGAAUCUGUCUAAGAAUGCAGUGACAAACUCCCCCCACUCUAAAGGACCUGAAUUAUCUGACCUUUCUGACUUCCACUAUUUGAACCAAGUAUGAGCAACAUCCUGCAAAUGAUAUGCAGCUAGCUCUGCACUCUCAAUAAUAGUCACCCCCAUAAUGUCUGUCACCUUCUGAACUUGAUCAAUGAAUUCCAGAGGGUCUUCAUCUACCUUAGACCCGAUAAAGAUUGGAGGAUUCAUUCGGGUGAAGUCCCGAAUCCUAGUGCAGCUGAAUUGGCCACUGGUUUGGCCGGAAUAACAGCUAGUUGUUCAUUUCGAGCAGUAACUGACUGCACAAGAGUAGUGAAUACGGCCCUGAACUCCGCAUGAGAAACAUGCUCGCCCAAAGGUUCCUCGGGCUGAAAGGCUGACUAAUUUUUGUUUCUUCUUUUAGGAGGCAUGUUCUGUAGAAGAAAGGGAGAAAUGGAUUAGAAUGAGAGAUUGAAUUGUGAUUAUGCUCACAGGUACGACAUGAAUACUGAAAGAGGGAAAAUUAUUCUUAAAACAUCUCAUAGCCUCUUGCACAUAAAUGUGGCAUACAACACACCUAUGUACAAGACUCUACUAGAUAUGGCUUUCAGACUUCCUAGGACUCUAUUGAACCUUAGGCUCUAAUAACAAGUUUAUAACGCCUUGAUUUUCUGAACCGGAACACUACACAGUGCUCAUGACCCCGAAGGACCACAAGCUAACCCAUGACUGAUAUUUGUAACUGUACACUGCAUAAUAUAUCAUAAAAUGUGGAAACAUGAACUGAAAGGUCAUAAGGUUCAAGCUGUAACAUAAGAUCUGAUAAAAGUAUAUCAUAUGGUGGGGCAUGAAAUACCCAAAACAAAACUAAAAUAACUGUCUGAACAUAAUAGUCUGGAAAGCCUCUAACUGACUGAGCUGUCUAAGAAGGGAGUUGAUGGGAUAUGUCACCAACUAACCUCAACUAAUAAACUAAUUAAUAAGAUAAUACAGAAAUAACUAAUCAUGUCCUCGAAAGAUGAGCACUCACUUCUAAACUCUGACUGCUGAGACUGAAAUCUACUAUUUCCCUGGAGCUCGUGUCUCUGGACCUGUGGUGUAAAAUAAAAAUAAAAAAAAUACCAUAGCGCAAAUGCAUCGGUACAUUUGAAUGCACUGUGAGGUAGGCUGAAUGCAUGGGGUUUAUAUGUAUGAACAAUAACAACAAACUAACUAUCAUGAGUAUGAGAAUACAUAUAUGAGACAUAAUAACUGACACUGACACCGUAAAUACACGGUAACUGAACCUGAGUACUACUAACUAAAUAUUAAUAAGAUAUACUGAUAACUAAUAUAACAAAAGUGACUGUAUCUGACAAUCCUAAAUCUGAUAAAACUAUCUGAGUUCUGUACUGUAUCUGAGUUGACUGUAUCUGACAGUCCUAAAACCUGAAAAACUAUCUGAGUUCUUUUAUUGAGACUGAUACUGAAACUGUGAAAAGUAGUCAUCUAACCGAUAUGCCCCAAUUAAGCGAAUAAUGUUGAAUUAGGGUCCAAUUUGUAACCCCAAUUGAAAGGGUGUCAAUACCACACCACUGGUAAAGACAAACUGUAGUAACCCUCAUCUGACAGUGUCCCCAAAAGAGAACGGUGAGGCCCUCAUCUGACAGUACUUAUCCACCCCAUCAACCCUCAUCUGACAGUAUUGAUGCCUCAAGCUAUGCUGGCUUAAUAGUUCUAGAAUGCAAGAAUGGUUGCUAAGAAUCACACCCUUACCUGACAGUGUGUGUUCCCAUUCUUGGGUUCACUCGGUGCUAAUUUCCACUUCCAUCUGAAGAGACUGAACAUAAUUAACUGACUGUUCAUGGACUGAGCUUACUAAAUUCCGUUGAAUUAUGGAAUACUAUUGAUAUCUGAUAACUGACUGAGUUCUAUGGAACAUGGCUUGACUGAGGUUUUUGUGAUAACAUGACUUGACUCUAGGCACACAACUAUAUUUUUUGGGUACAAAUACCCCCAGAACUCGAUGGAAAGAAACUGACACAACCAUGACACUUCUUGAUCAUAGGAACAGAGUUCAUAAUUCAUAAUGCCAUAAAUAGGGGAUGUCAUGCUUCACAUGGUUAUCAUAUUCUUGAUCAUGGAAGGGAAUGCAUAUAAUAUAUAAAUACUUGCAUGGUUUCAAUAUCAUGAACAUUUUAUAACACAACAAUAGCAUGAAAAUUGUGUUGAAUCAUAAGAGUAGCAUGGACUUGUCAUUUAGGGCACUACUAAGUUAUAAAAACAUGAUUUUUAUCAUUCUAGGAAUUUUAUCAAAGACCUUACAUGCACAACCUUGAGCAUAGUAUUUGACAAUUUAGCAAUCUUAAACCACCCAAAUUUAUGGUCUCAACUAACAAGCCCACAUAAUUCAUGAAAAUACAUCAAGUCACCAUCUUGAAACAUAAAUAAUCACCAUCAACAUGAACACAAUCAUAUCACAACAAGAUAAACAUAAUUUAUUAUUUAAAACGUGAUUCUUGAGCUCCUUGGAUGAACACUAUGCAUUCCUGGGUUGUGAUUUCUUGAAGUUCUGUGGAGGAAAAGUUGAAUUAUUGGCUUGGAAUUAAGCACCUAGGGUUCCUUGUUCUUGAGAAUUGAUUCUUGAGAGAAACCCUAAUUGUGUUUGUGAAAUAAUAAUGGAUAAAGUGGCUGAAAUCAGAUAUAACUGGGUAUAUAUAGGCGAGUGGUAAAUGACCAAAAUACCCUUAUUAAAACGACCUUGAACAACUGAAUUUAAGGUGUGAUGGUGGCUUUCGAUGGUCCGUCGGGACCUACCAUUGGACCUGGGCAGAAACUGGUCCCACGUGUUAUGAGCGACGGUGGCUUUCGAUGGUCUAUCAGACUUGCGAUAGUCCGUUGACUGCUACCAUCGUACCUAGGUAGAAAGCAGGUCCACUGCCUCAGUGCGACAGUCAUGCUCGAUGGUCCAUCACUUGUCCGACGGUCCGUCGACCACACCAUCGUACUUGGGCUGUUUAACUGUCUUCUGUAUUUCGGUCAUAAUUUCCUCAUUUGAUACCGGAUUUUGAUGAAAUUAGUAUCGAUGGAAAGCUUAUUCAAAUUUUCCACGUGAUAGGAAGUGAAAAUUAUAAAAAUACCAUGUGUAUAAGAAUGAAUUCUUAUUUCAAAGCAAGUUCUAACAUCCUUGAGAUGAUUUUUAAGCUAAGAAAAAGCACGGGUAUUAUAGAUUAUCACACAUAUAUUAACAAAGAAUCAUUGAGUUCGGGUCUAUAUGCAUAGAAAAAAUGGUUCAAACUUUAGCUCGAAAGUGUGGGGUGUUACAGUGUAGCUAAUAGACAUUGGGGCUCUUUCAACAGGAAGAGCCGAACCCAUAUAUCUCAUGCGUACCUUUAGGAAUGAAACGAGCUACAUAGUUCAGGUUAAAAUCUUUAAACUCUCAUAUUCAUGAUCCUUGUCCCCAUCCUGGCAUCCUGUAUAUGUAUAUAUAAAUGUUGUGCAUGUAGUUUUGACUGGUUAUUGCAUUAGCACUAUUUUAUCCCUUUCCCUAAGUUACAUGCCAGUGCUUAUGCUACUAACUAUCCCUAAACGCUACAUUAUUUCAUGAUAUAGGGUUCAAAGGGUUUUUUGUUGCUCCUGUGCAGCAUUAGGUGGUUCGGUUUAUCUGUUGAUCUGCUGUGAAGUGGUGAGCCUCCAUCUUUCAGAAGGUCUGGUCAUUUCAUUGGUACAUUAUCAUCUUAGUACUCUUUUGAUCCUUUUUGUAAAAGUCGUGGGCAUGUCUCGACUUAGUUUGGUAUUCUAUCUUUUAGAGGCUUUUGUGGACAGGAUUUGGGAUGUCAUUUAUGUCUUACUUUGACUCUAUAAAUUAUCUUUUGAUUUUAUAUAUCUUUCAUUAGUUUGGUUGACUUCUGUUGUUUAUCAUUUAUUAUGCUCUAGGGGUUACGUUAAGGGGGUGGUAUCCGGCCCACGGUGUGCUUGAGAUACCUUUCAUGAUUAGGCAUAGGUUCAAGAUCGUGACAUCGACCCCUAGGAAUUUGUUUAGAAUAUCGCAAACGCAAAGGAACUAUGCAACUAUGCUAAUUUUGAUGUGUCGAACUCAAUAGCAAAGUUGUAUUUUUGUAAAAAAGGUUGUUUUUAACAAAUUAAUCCUCGAGACCUCUUUUCACUAUCAUUCAAAUGGAGGGUCGAAAUAAGAUAUGAAGGUCUCGUGAUCGAACCAACCCUGCUACUAACAUAAAUUUGAUAUUUCGAAUCUACUGGCACUUUUUGAUUUUUCAUCCAAUACUAGGAUCAUCAAAUAUUGACCAAAGUCAACUAUAUGGCUCCAAGUCUCUAAAAACCACAAACUCUCACAAAUCAUUUCCGAUCGAAGAGGAACCAUGCCAACCACCUCCAAACCCCAAAAUCAACAUGUAGCAACCAUGGAGAGGAAAUAAAUGGUAAAAACAACUAGAAAUGGAAAAUUCACAUGUUUAGGUCAUUAGAUAAAUCCUCUAAGCAUUAUUCAAAUAGUGAACUGAAGGAUUGCGUCCCGGCAAUAUGCAUUGGCAAUAGGUCCACAAAUGUCAUUUUGCAUCUGCAAAAGGAGGAAAUAUUUUUCUCAGAUUUUCAAAUUAAAUAAUCAUCAAACAAUUAAGUUUCAAAUAAGUUUUAUCCCAAAAGAUAGACUCAAGCCAAAGCCAAGCCAAGCGAUGAUGAUGAUGCAAGUCUUGUCUUUUUCUUACCUUAGUAACAACGUGGAGUAGUGCUUUUAUACUUAAACAUAAAAAAUUUCAUUCUCUCACCAAUAUUGGAGAAACACUUCUUUUAUAAAGUGAAAACAUAAUUCACUUUUUUCCUCCAUUUUCCAUUAUGAUUUUGUCGCUAAAACCAACAUAAAUCAUAUGAAAGAUGUAUUCUCAUCUUCCAUAUUAUUUUGCUGAUUGUAAGUUAGAUUCCUUGAUUACAUUUAAAGGUAUGGUCUGUGCUCUACAAAUGUAAUUCAAAUGUAAUUCAGUAAUUUACAAUUAUGAAAUGGGAAAGACAGGGCCAUGCGUGACCCAUAACACCUAGGUAUCCUAACUAUGGUGAUGACAAUUUCAUUAAAAAACGAAAAGUUUUUUUUUUUUUUUUUAAUUAAAAGGGAGGCUUAUAGCCGGGAUCAUACUUUGUUGACAGUUUCAUAGUGAAAAGUGAUAUAAUAUAUACAUUGAAUGUUACUACUUCCUUGUUGCAGAUUUGAAAAUAUCAUAGUUUCACGUUGAGGCACUUGUUAUUGCGCAGCUUCAAAGUUGUAUGGUACUGUAAUUUUCUUUCUUUCUAAAAAUAGUAAAGUAAUACAGUCAAACUUCAGAAUUCAAAUAAAUUACAUCUUGAUGGGAUAAUAAAGAUAGGAUCUUGCUAAUUAGUUGUGAGCAUCAACAUAUUGGAAAACUAAAAAGAUAUAAGUAGGAGAGUAUAAGCGGAUUUUUCCAAUAUGAAUUAUUUGUAUUAGUAUAAUUUGACGGGUGCUACAAUUUAGUUAUUACAUUAGUUGGUUAUGGUUAUCGCUCCUCUUUUGAAUGUUAUGUUAUGUUUCGUCUAUUAUUUUUUAGGUCAAAGGCAUUGAUAGUCACUCAAAUUUAUUGCGAAAAUUCACUUAAACCCCUAAACUAAUGUCUAUUCCUAUAAGACCCCUAAACCCCCAAAUUUUGUUUCAAUUGGGCAUUUUUUGCCUAUGUGGCACUGCGCGUGCAGUGCCAUAGUGGGAGGCGCGUGAGGAACAUUUUUUUUUUUUACUAAUUUACGAAUAAAAAGUUGCCAAGUGGCAUUGACGGGCCCAAAAUUUUUUUAAUAACAACUUUUUCUUUAAACCCCAAAAAGCAUUAGAGGACCCCAAUUUUUUUUUAAUAAAAUUGAAUUUAAAAUAAAUUUGUUUUUUAUUUUCAUCUUUUAAAAAAUUUUAUAAUUUUUUUUUAAUAAUUAUUUUGUUAUUUUUAUUUUUUAAAUAAUUUUAUAAUUAUUUUUUCAUAAUUUGAAUCCUCAAUUCCAUUUUUUAUUUUCAUUUUAAAAAGUUUUAUAAUUUUUUUAAUAAUUAAUUUUUAAUUUUUCAAAUAAUUUUUUCAUAAUUUAUUUCAUUUUUAAAAAAUUUUUUUUAAAUUUUUUUUUUUAAAAAAUUUUUUUUUUUUUUUUUUUUUNNNNNNNNNNNNNNNNNNNNNNNNNNNNNNNNNNNNNNNNNNNNNNNNNNNNNNNNNNNNNNNNNNNNNNNNNNNNNNNNNNNNNNNNNNNNNNNNNNNNNNNNNNNNNNNNNNNNNNNNNNNNNNNNNNNNNNNNNNNNNNNNNNNNNNNNNNNNNNNNNNNNNNNNNNNNNNNNNNNNNNNNNNNNNNNNNNNNNNNNNNNNNNNNNNNNNNNNNNNNNNNNNNNNNNNNNNNNNNNNNNNNNNNNNNNNCAAUGCCAUUUUUUUAUCUUAAUUUUAAAAAACAAAUUAUAAGGUUUUUUAAUAAUUAAUUCUUUUAAAAAAUAAUUUUUUAAUAAUUUAUUUCAUUUUUUAAAAAAAUUUAUAAUUUUCUUAAAAUAAUGAUUUUUUUAUUUUUAUUUUCUAAAUAAUUUUAGGAUUAUUUUUUAAUAAUUUCCUCAAUGCCAUUUUUAUAUACUUUUUUUGAAAAAAUUAUAAUUAAUUUUUAAUAAUUAUUGAACCCACAAUGCCACGUGUCAUCUUUCAAUUAGCUCGUUUUGUCACGUUAUCGCGUGUGUGCAACACACAAUUUGACCUUUUUUGCUGAUAGGGAAAAAAAUGUUCAAUUGGAACAAAAUUCGGGGGGUUUAGGGGUCUGAUAGGAACAAGCCUUAGUUUAGAGGCCUAAGUGAAUUUUCGCAACAAGUUUGAGUGUCUGUCGAUGACUUUGGCCUAUUUUUUAUGUCCUCUUAUGUUUGUUACUUGAAUCGAGGAUCUGAUAGAAAUAACCACUCUAUCUCUUUAAAGUAGGUGUAAGAUCUGUAUACUCUUUCCAGACAUCGCUUUUGGGAAUUAUGCUACGUUUGUAGUUGUUAUCAAUCAAUGGAUUGUAAAAAACAGCCUCUCUAUCAACAAACAUCAGUAUUUCCUAUUUUAUGACUCCACUUUUUAAAAUUUAUAAAAUAUUAUAAUAAUGAUAAGGGAUAGGGGACUAUACUAGGUUUGUAGUGGUUGUUAACGAUAAAAGAUCUAUCAAAAACUGCCUCUUUAUCCAUAAUUUUUCCUAUUUUAUAACUGUACUUUUUAAAAUAUAUAAAAUUUUAAAAUAAUGGUAAGGGAUAAACGUGCAACAUACGUUCUCAUAGACUACCUGAAGGAAAUAAGUGAAAAAUAAUUUGUAAACACUUUUAAUGAAAGACAAAAAGUUCAAAUAAUAAAUCUAAACUCCUUCAAACUUUUAAUAUAGUAUAUAUAUAGAUAAACAUAAUAGGGUGGUGGAGAGUUUGGCAAUGGCACCUGACUACGUACGUAUGUAACUUUAAAGUUUAAACCGAUAAUAAGUCUGGCCCAGCCCAGCCCACUUAGAAAAAUCUGUCCGGUUUAUCCGGUCUGAUCAACCCAAAUUUCAAAAAUAACAACUCUGUAGUCUUAAUUAUAACUUAUAUAACAAUAAUUUUAUAAUUACAAAAAAUAACAAAUUGUAUUUGUAUUUAAGUAAAAUGUUGCUAUAUAAAUACAUAUACAAAUACAUAUGUAUUACUCAUAAAUACAUAUGCACAACUAAAAAAUACAUAUUCUUCUAGUUGUAGUAUAUUUUAUUUAAAGUUGUACAUAUAUUGAAUGGUGCUAUGUUUUAUAAAUUAGUAUAUAACUAUAUAUAUAGUGUGUGUGUAUAUUGCAGUGUUAUAUUGUAGUAUAUUUUAUUUAAAGUAGUACAUAUAUAUUGAAUCACUAUGAAAUGGGUAAAAUAUUGUUACUUUUGCUAUAAGUUGGAAUUUUACAAAAGUGUUGCUAUUUAUUGUAAUUAUAGUUUUAAGGAUGAUAGUUUCUAUAAUUUUUCCUUUAUUUUUUGGUUGGGCCCGGUUAACCCGGCUUGGACCAAGCCCGGUCAAGGCCAGCCGGUUAACCGGCCCGGUUAAUUUUUUAUUUUUUUUUUAAAUUUGGAUUUAAUUAUAACUUAGUUUUAAUAUAUUAUUAAUUUACUAUCAAGUAUUAUUAAUUUAUAUAUGUGUAUAUAUAUCUUCUAAAGACGUAUAUAUUUAACGUANNNNNNNNNNNNNNNNNNNNNNNNNNNNNNNNNNNNNNNNNNNNNNNNNNNNNNNNNNNNNNNNNNNNNNNNNNNNNNNNNNNNNNNNNNNNNNNNNNNNNNNNNNNNNNNNNNNNNNNNNNNNNNNNNNNNNNNNNNNNNNNNNNNNNNNNNNNNNNNNNNNNNNNNNNNNNNNNNNNNNNNNNNNNNNNNNNNNNNNNNNNNNNNNNNNNNNNNNNNNNNNNNNNNNNNNNNNNNNNNNNNNNNNNNNNNNNNNNNNNNNNNNNNNNNNNNNNNNNNNNNNNNNNNNNNNNNNNNNNNNNNNNNNNNNNNNNNNNNNNNNNNNNNNNNNNNNNNNNNNNNNNNNNNNNNNNNNNNNNNNNNNNNNNNNNNNNNNNNNNNNNNNNNNNNNNNNNUAGUAUAUAUUUUAUUUAAAGUAGUACGUAUAGUCGUAUAUAUUGAAUGUUACGUACAUAUGAGUAAUUGUGUAUAUGUGUAUAUAUUUUUUAAAUUCUAAUGUAGUUUAUUCUAUCUAUAUAGUGUAUAUAUAUUGUUUAACGUAUUUAAAAUGUAUAUAGGUGGAUAUAUAUAGUGUAUAUUGGAUUUUUUUUUUAUUUUUGAUCGGGUUUGACCGAUUUCUUAAUCGGGUUUGAUCGAAUUUAGGUGGGUUAGACCGGGUUGAGUUUAGUGGGCCGGGUCAGGGUUAUUUUUAAAAAUUUUACUGUUUAACUCGAAACCGGCCCGACCCACUUAACCCCAACCUGGAUCCGGCCCCACCCACAAAUCGGCUAAUUUUAAUGGGCUGGUUCCGGGUUGAUCUGACCCGGCCCACUUAACACCCUUAACUCAUCAUUAUUUAAUGGCCAAUCACUUGUCAAGCCCCUAAAUUUGACACCCGCUUUUAUUGGCACCUCAAGUAAGCAUUGUUCAUUUUAAAUAGAGAUAAUACAUAAAUAUGACCCUAAACUUGACAUCAAAUUAUAACUUUGACUUUAAACUUUGACAGUGCAUAAAUAUGGCCUUUAACUAUUCAAAGCUGCACAAAUAUGGCUUUUAAAUGACUUUUCACUAUUAUUUUUUCAUUAUUUUCGGCUCAAAGAUAAAAAUGGCAUCUAAUUUCUUUUGUCAUUGUGGAAAAAAAAUAAUAUUGAUGAUUUAUUAAUUAGGUGGUCAUCCUCAUACGAAAAAAUCGCACGGGUAUCUAUAUAUAUUAUAAAGCAGAAGGCGAAUUUAAGUUAUAUAAUAUAUCUAAAUAUAAUUUUUAAUUUAUUUAAAUAUUAAAUUAAAGAUGAAACUAUACUAAUAAUAAAAAAAAUUAUAAUUUUAAUAAAACGUUAUUAAAUUAACGCUAUUAUGGAUAGUAGUAGUAUAUUAAAUUAAUGUUAUCAAAUUAGCGUUAUUAAAAUGUUAUUAAAUUAACUUUAUUAAAACGUUAUUAAAUUAAUGCAUAGGCGGACCUACGUGGUUGCCAUGGGGUUCACCCGAACCCCCUCGGUAAAAAAGUUACGUUGUAUAUAUAAGGUAGAAAAUCUAUAUUUAUGUACAUAUAUUAAUGUUAAACCACAUGAAACAAGACACUUAGUUAGCCCAGUGGUGUUAUUUGCUCUUCUUGGGCGCUUCUUUCAACCUACUGCGCGGGUUUGAUACUUGUUAGUGGCUGUUCUUUUUUUGUUUUAAUAAUAAAAAAAGCUAGGUGUUGUUGUAUAUAGAAUAAAUUAAAUAAUAAUAAUAAUAAUAAUAAUAAUAAUAAUAAUAAUAAUAAUAAUAAUAAUAAAAAGUAAAAAAAGGACGCCAUUUUAACACAAAACUUUGACAGUGCACAAAUAUGACCUUUAACUAUUCAAAACCAUACAAAUAUGACCUCCCUACAAUUCAGCCCUUUUAACGACGUGACACUGUGUGAUUGGAUUACUUUUCCACGUAGGCGCGAGUGAAACUCACGCAUGAGGGUUGCAAAAUCGGAGGUCAUAUUUGUUCAGGUUUUGAAUAGUUAAAGGUCCUAUUUGUACACUAUCAAAGUUUAAGAUCAAAGAUAUAAUUUGGUAUUAAGUUUAGGGUCAUAUUUAUGUAUCUCUUUAAAAUAUAUAAACUAGUGUCCCACAGUGUACAUUUUGAUACCUUUGCUGACUUGACACAUUAUUUUGUUACACAAACUUUGAGCACGUGGAGAACUUAAAUUACUAUUUAUUAGUGUAAUAUACUAAUUUUUAUUUUUAUUUUUAUUUUUUUAUUUUUUUAUUUUUUUAUUUCUUCUUCUUCUUUCUCUCUCCCCCCAACACUUUCUCCACCCCUACCCAUCUUCACCUUUCUCCGCCUCUCAUGUUGCAUAUCCACUUUGCAACCAUGGCUACUUCCUUUUGUUUUUCAUUAUCAACUUCAGUUUUGCAUUAGAUUUUUCCUUACAAUAAUGAUAUACAUGAAAAACGAAAAGAAAAAGAAAAGCGAUUUAUUAAAAUUAAUACUAUUAAUAUGAUGCAUUGAGAUUCAAACUCAAUGUUGUAUCCAUAUAAAGACAUCUUAGGCCAUAAAUCGAUAUGACAUGAACCCAAUAUCUUAUCAUUCUGGUGCAUCAAAACUCUAACUCGAUGUCUUACCCAUUUAGCGCGAUGAAAUUUUAAUCCGCCGUCCUACCGUUAAUCAAUAACACAAUAGGGCACGUUAUACGACUCACCCACAUGAUGCCGUUAAAAUAAUACCACCCCUAAUUCUCGUACAAUUAUUAUCAACUUCACUAGAGUUCACGCCAUAAUAACGAACAAUAUUUAUUUUUGGCAAUUGACAGCACAAGCAUGAUUUGCUAAGUAUCAAAUAAGACUUGGAUCAUAUUAAUUGAUGACUUUCCAGAGUGUUCAGAAAUAAUACUUCACAUAAUAUAUGAAUAUACCCUAACCGAAGAUCAUAUUCAAGUAAUUAAGUGGAUAAUUAGAUAGAAAUAAUCUUUACCAUUAAUUACUAGAUUUUCAUUCUCUAGUAUUGGCCUAAAAACUUCAUGUUGGUGAUGAUGUUUGUCUUAUUCACUGGAAUAAUCGUGCAAAUCAAGAUUCAGAAACAUAGUCUACUUGAAGCCAUCCAUUUACAAUUAUGCAAUAGUAAAUAAUAAGUCCCAUAAGACAAAUUCCACCAUUAUUCAAUUUAGUGGUUGUAGAGUGUAAACUUACCGACAAAUCUCUCUAAAGUAUUUAUUCAAUAAUAGAGUUUCGUGCUGAUAAUGUGUUAUAAACUAAUAUAAAAUAAACAAGAAUAAUAAGGGAGAGAAGAGAGGAGAUUCUUUAUUUCUCCUGAAGAAUGAGGGAUGAUAGACAUUAAUGAAGAAAACUUCUCUAUCUAUAGCGAAAAAGUUUGUCAUAGUUUCUCUCCAAACAUUGUUUUAUUUUUAUUCUCCUAUUUGCCCAAAGAAAAUAACAAAAACAUCAAAUACAUCAUCCAAAUAAAAAGACAAUAACUUUGGAAAUAGAUGAUCUAAAACUUUUCACCCCCAAUUUUCAUAGCAAACUUUCAAGUUCAAAAGUCAAAACAUGUUGAAUUUGAAGUUCCAUCAGGAAGAGGUUAAUAAAUUCUAGACCUGACACCUCCUACAUCAUUCUCAUAAGCCAUCCAAAUAAAUCAUUGUAUAGUCGAAGAAACGUCAAAGAAGAGAUGGGAUAGCUCGCAAAGGUUGGACUUUCGCUAAAGUUAUACCAAAUCUCUCUUCCAUGUCUAAUUCUUCUGGAUCAUUAAUGUCUGACUCAAGUUUCCAGUUGAAGGAAUUCAAGAGUGACCCUAACAUUACUGAAACCAUUCUCAAUGCCAGUGACAAGCCAGGGCAUAUUCUUCUUCCUGCGCCAGAUGGGAUUAGUCCAAAAUCUUGCCCUCUUACAUCCAAUUUCGAAUUCCAAAACCUCUCAGGCUUGAAUACUAAAGGAUCCUCCCAAAAAUUAGAAUCACGACCAAUCUCCCAGACAUUGAUUAGUACCUGUGAGUAAGUAUGUCAAAUGGAUGUGCUUGACUAAAUUUGAAUAGACUAAUUAAUAAAUAAGGAAAUCACAUAAAUGCAUUUUUCAAAAAAGUUACAUUCAAAAGUUACAACUUUUCUAUGAAAAUCACAUUAAUAUAAUUUUUGUUCAAAAUUUAAACUUUUAAUUACAUCCUGUAUAACUUUUUUAUAUUUCUAAAAUAUCUCUUUCACUAAAAAAUAAUAAACGAGAAACUAUUCUCUCACCUAAAAUUACUAUCUUAAGUACAUAUCACAUUCUCAAAUCUUUUUUUUUUGUCAAUAAAAAGUGACCUGUUAUCAUACCAACAGAUCAAAGAAACACGACUAAAAGUAUCUAUAAUCUUAUCAACCUAGACUUAUUAUCAUAUUAGUAGACCUCAAGUAUCAAGUAAUUACAUAAGUCUGUGAUCUCUCCCUAAUUACACAUUUCACUUGCUGAGUUAAAAUUACUAUUUACACUUGUCUUGAUUAAAAUUUUCUAUUUUUUAGGCAGCCAAAUGGGAUAGAGAACAGCUUCAUAAGCAGCUACUAAUAUCUCCUCCUUGCAUUUGUUCCAGUUUUGCUAUGUAUCCGGAUAAACAUUUCCACCACACCCUGACAUGGGAAGGAUUGUCCUAGCCACUGCCAGAUGUUAUGCCACACCUUUGUACCCCAAAAACACGUAGUAAACAGAUGAGCUGCAUUUUCCCGAACUACACAAGUACACAGACUAUAAUCCGUUGAAUCAUUCCCUAAUCCCAUCUUCUCCACUCUAUCUUUGGUAAGUAACCUUCCAAACACUGCAGGCCAACUGUCUGUGUUUUGGAACUGAUGCUCUAUUCCAUAUUAAGUUUGCAACCUCAAACUUUGGCAUGCUUCCAAUAAAUUUCAAGUAGCUCAAAGUUACAGAAUACUUGUCUUUCUCUGUUAAACAAUAACGACCAUUACUAUACCUAUCAUGCAUUUUGAGUUUCUUAUUAUGUAACAUCCUACAAUACCAGUUGCAAUUAGUUGGGAAUGAUCUUAUACAACUCAUUACAGCAUGAUAUUGGCCUGUAUUAACUAGCAUUUUCAGGCUUCUUCACUUUAGGAUCAAGGCAAUAACUAUGACACUAAUUUGCCUUGCCUCAACAUUUUUCCAGACUGCAUAAACUCCAAAAUAAUAUUUGUGAUAUGUUCACCCACCACUUCCUAAGAAUCUCUAAAGAAACCACUGCUAUAUCCAUCCAGGACUGCACUCUUGGUAGUUUUAAUUCCAAACACUGCAUCUUUUAUAUCUUUUUUUGAGUGAACUGGAUAAGCAACUAAACUUGUUGUUCCACAGAUAGAACAAGUCAACGCUUUAAGAAUCUAUCUAAAGUUCUUGGCCAAGUGACAUUCCCUUCCUCUCCUAGCAAUCUAGAGAAAUAUCUCACAAAGAUUUCAACAAUCUCACACUGAUUAGUGUGCACCUGCUUAUGUGCAUCCUGCAUUUUAGUGAUUGCUUGAUCCAACCUCCUUUUCUUGAGUAUAGAAUAAAACAAUAGGUGUUAUCAUCUCUAAGCCUGAUCUAUGUUGCUUUACUCUUUUGCAGAAACAUCAUUUCUACCAUGUAGCUCACUCUUCAAAAAGCUUUACGGGUUUCCCCUUCUAUUUUUUGUAAUUGCUUAUUUGGUGGAUCUGCCUGUAGUUUAUCCUGUGCCUCUUUCAACUUCCAUUUAAAAAUAUUAUCCUCAUUUUUCAAACUACUAAAAUGUUAGCCAUGUGACUUCCUGAGGUACAUUUUUAGCAACUUUAAUUUCUAAACAACCUGGUACAUGUAGCAACCCUGAACCUGCCUUUGCCAGUAAUUCAGAACAAUAUUUAUGAACUUGUCAUGCUUGAUUCAUAUAUUUCAAUACUUGAAGCUUGGCUUCCCUCUUACGGAAGUACCAACAGACCUAACAUAAAUUAGACUAUGCUCACUCCUACAAUCUGCCAUUUCAUCUGCCCAUUCCCUACUAUUAAAAAACCAAUAAAUUUUCGAACGCACUCUAGAACUUGUUCCUUUAUCUUUCCCAGUAUAAACACACCUAUCACCAUCAUCUCCAGCUUACAAGUAUCCAAACAGUCUUAGAAAUCACGGACCUCGGGCAAAUUUACUAGAUACCACCUAUUCUAUCAUUAGUGUGCAACAUAUUGGUAAAAUCACCAAGUAUAAGUCAUGGUGUAGUCAUACUUGUUCUAACCUGAGACAGAUAGGACCAUAAUUCCUUCAUUUCUUGCCUUCAUUCUGAUCAUACACAAUUGUACAAUAAAUCUCUUUCUGCAAUGUUAUAUUUGUAAUACCCCGUACGCUUGUAAGCUAGAAAUCGAACCUUCGUUCCUACGAGACUAAACUCUUUUCCCGUGAUUCAUAAAUGGAUCCAUGUUUCAUGAUCAUUAACCUAGUGUGAAUAAAGGUUAUGAGGCAGGAAAGAUGUUCAGAAGUGUCAUUAGAGUAAAGUGAGCUAAGAACCUUUGAUUCAGACAAUUUUUGGUGUUCGAUUUCACAAGAAUCAUCUUUGAACGAGUAUAACAUUAUGUGUUUGUGGAAUUUGGAAGAUCAAAAUCAAUAAAAUUGUAGAUAAUUGAAUUAUCUUUCCAAUGAUACCAAUUUCGCCUAAAUCCAACACCCGAGCAAAAAGUUAUGGCUUUGCAAAGGGGAAUGCGUCGCCUAACAAUCGCAAACGUUCACUGGAAAGGGUUUUCGAUGGGGUGUGCAACGCAAACCUUAAGAUUUGCCAUAGGGUGUGCGAUGUAAACCUUAAGGUUUGCCAUAACUUAUGCAACGCAAACCCCAUGGUACAACGACCUAGACAUUUUGUUUUGAGUCAUUUGACACCUCUUAAAUGUCCCUAAACAUAACUUCACAAAAUUAAACAUUAACGGUUCAUCAUCUAAAACACAAGAGGAGAAAAAACUAGGGUUCGCACAAUCAAUCUUGAAGGUCAAAUAUUUCCGCAAUUUUGUCAUCGUUAAGGUAUGUUAAAUGUUCAUCCAUGGUUCCUUUCAACCCAUGGAGUCCAAGAACCCAAUUUCAAAUUCAAAGCGAUGAUAUUUACAUGUUAUUAUGAUUUUAACCAUGAAUUCCCAUCAUUUUUUAUUUAUACCAUGUUUUGCACGUAAUUGUUGUUGUUAUUGAAUCCCACACGUUUGAAUGGUGUUGUUCGCUGAUUUAAGCCUUAAUUGGUGAUGUUAGUGUUGAAAUCAUGCUAUUACUAUAAGUUUUAAAACUGUUCUCAUGCUUAGCUUAAACCAUGAAUUGAAAGUGUUUGAUUAAAUGCCUACAAGAAUGAGUUUUGAAUAAAUGCUUACAUAUCAUGCCCUCAAAGUUUUUAAUUCUAUUUUUCUAUUAUUGCUAUCGAGACCUGGGGGUUUGAAUACCUAAAAUCUAGAUGCUUACCUAGUUUUCAGUAUCUAUAGGGUGGUUACAGAAUAGUUACAAGCCCUAUCAUUUCAGUCAGUAUUUUAAAAAGUUAAACAUAGUUCAGUCCAGUGUUUAGUGUCUUUCAGUUGGGAGUAAGAUUUAGCACCGAGCGAAUGCAGGGAUAACAGCUCCCCUAUUAGUUAGGCAGUGUUGUUUGUAGCAGUUCCUGUAUUCCAGACCUACGUAGCCAGCGUAGGAUAUGAGGAGUAACCCGUCAGUUAGGUUUGACUACCUCUCAGGGGUCACCCGUCAGUUUAUGCUUAACAACCCUAGUCCUUUGGGAAAACACUUUAGUGGAUCCACAUAGCCAUUUGUCAGUACUCGUGGCACGAUUUUGACACCCUUUUUAACUGGGGUUACAAGUUGGACCCUAAUUAGAUUGUUGAGGCAUGUCGGUUAGAUAAUUGCUCCCACAAUCUCAGUCCAUAAUUCAGCUAAGAAGUCAGUUUCAGUUUUGCUUGACCAUAGCAUACAAAUAUCAAUUAUCUGUGUAUCAAUAUUUAGUAUUUCAGUUUAUAGACUAUAUUCAGAACAUGUUUUAUGCUAGGUCAUGCAUUUUCAGUCUUUACAAAAUUUUAUGCAUUCUUACUAAGUAUCUCAUAUAUCCAUUCUGCCAGUUAUUACUCAUGCGUCUAAACCCAUGCAUAUUAGACUAACCUCAUAUAGCGUACUAGUAUAUUCAAAGUACUGACCUUAUACUCAUUUCUUAAGCUAUGAUGUUUAAUAUCAUAGGUUCGGACAAUCAGUUUCCUGACCGUGCGUAGAUAUUCUAGAUUUUCAGCAGUAGUAGUGGUGAGUCCUCAUGCUUUGAGGACAUGGUUUAUUUAUUUUAGUUUACCUUAUCAGUUCAAUAUUUCUAUUUAGUUGGAGUUAGUUGGGGGCUUGUCCCAUCAACUCCACAUUCAAUCAGUUUAGAGGCUUACAAACUAGUACAAAUAAUUAGUUUCCAGUUGUUACUAUAAACCGUUUUAUCAUUAUUGUUUUACAAACAUUAUCAAAACUAUGAUUAAAAAAUCUUAAGGAAUUUUUUUAGUUAAAUUCCGUAUGUGUCUUUGCUAUUUUAUUUUAUUCUCACACCAAGGACUAGCUCAUGGGUUAGCUUGUGGUCCUUCGGGGCUGUAAGCACCAUGUAGCAUCCAGGGUAUACUCUCGGGGUGUUACAAACUUAGUAUCAGAGCCUAAAAUUUUAAAAUGUCCUAGGUAGUCUGAAAGCCGCGUUGAGUAGAGUCUUGUGCAUAAGUGUGAAGCGCACCACACUUAUUAACAAGAGGCUACGAAAUGCUUUAGGAAAAGUUUUCCUUCUUUCAGUGUUCAUAUCAUGUGAAUGAGCAUGAGCUCAAUUUAAAAUAUUUGUAUAAUUCAAUCUUCUUUCAAUUUACAAAGUAUGCCUCCCAGAAAGACAAACAGAAGAAGAAAUAGAAACCGGCCAACACCAUCGCUCGUUAAGGAAGAUCCCUUGAAUGAGCAUGUUUCUCAUGCAAAGUUCAGAGUUGCAUUCACUACUCUAGCUCACUCAGUGGCAGCUUAGAAUAUUUGGCCAGCUGCUGUCACGGCCAACCUAGUGGCCAACACUGCCGUAGCUAGGAUUUCAGACUUCACCUAAAUGAAUCCUUUUUUUUUUUCAGGAUCCAAGUCUGAUAAGGAUCCACAGGAAGUCCUUGACAUGAUUCAGAAGAUGACUAACAUUAUGAGUGUGACUUCUACUGAGAGUGCUAAAUUGGCUGCUUAUUAGCUGCAGGAUUGACACAAGUGCAACUAGCUCAAAACCUUUCAUACGUAGCCAAGCUUGGGAGUUACAAAAACUCCAAGCCAUGUUCAUGUAGAUGGCCGUGUGUGAGUGUGUAAUUAAUUCAUCUGAGGAAUUCCAUGUUUUGAAGUGUGAAGAGGGGAUUUGAAGUGUAAGUUUAUUACGCUUCAAAAAAAAAUGUAGUAGCACUUUUUUUAUUACAUUCCAAAGCCACCCAAGACCAAGGCUAGAAUAGUCAUUUUCCUUUUAUUUUGUGAAGUACUAUAUAUAGAAAAUAAUAGGGCUAUUUCUUGGACUUAGUUCAUUAUUGAUAUUUCACUGCACAAGUCUUGUAAUAAUUUAAGAACUUCUCUCUCUUGUUCUUGAGAGUGAACCCAAAACUAGAGAACAAAGUUUAGUAACACUUUUGUUGUUCUUUGGCUAGAAACUUGGGGUCUUGAGGUUCAUGAGUUCCUCUUCAUUUAAGUAAGAAUUUGGUGUAAAUAUCUUUUAGUCUUAGGGUCCUAAUCUUCAUGUUAGGGUUCUUAGAUUCUAGGAUAUUUUGUGUCAAAUUACUAUCCAUUAUUUUUUAAUCUUGUUGUUUGUGUGUUGAUAUCGUGAAGCCGUGUGGGGAUCUUUCGAUUCACUAUAGUUAUUGCAAUCUUAUGUUAUUUAUCUAUCUUGUUGAAUGUUGUUGUUGUUGCCUUAAAAACCUAGAGAAGCCGAGUGGGGCCUUUGAUUCUCUAGUGAUGUUGUUCUUGUGUUUGCUUGAAUCUCUCGAUACACACUCAAUCUUGUAUCAUUUAGUAUCAAAUCCAUAUUUGAUUUUAUUUUAACAAAAUCAAUUUUGGGCUUGAGAGUUAAAAAAAAAAA
rnacentral:lncRNA from 1 species